rnacentral:rRNA from 1 species
UAGCGUAUAUUAAAGUUGUUGCGGUUAAAAAGCUCGUAGUUGGAUUUCUGUUGAGAGCAGCGCGUCUACCUUUUGGGUAAGUAUGUUGCUUGGUCUCGGCAUCUUCGUGAAAAACGUUUCUGCGCUUGAUUGCGUGGGGCGGGGUUCACGACUUUUACUUUGAGGAAAUUAGAGUGUUCACGGCAGGCAUACGCCCUGAAUAUAUUAGCAUGGAAUAAUAAUAUAGGACCUUGGUUCUAUUUUGUUGGUUUCUAGAGCUAAGGUAAUGAUUAAUAGGGACAAUUGGGGGCAUUCGUAUUAACGCGUC